UACGUAGGCAGCAAGCGUUGUUCGGAGUUACUGGGCGUAAAAGAGUAUGUAGGCGGUUGGGUAAGUUUGGUGUGAAAUCUCCCGGCUUAACUGGGGAGGGUGCGCUAAAGACUGCCUGGCUCGAGUGUGGGAGAGGAAAGCGGAAUUCCUGGUGUAGCGGUGAAAUGCGUAGAUAUCAGGAGGAACACCUGCGGUGUAGACGGCUUUCUGGACCAUAACUGACGCUGAGAUACGAAAGCGUGGGUAGCAAACAGG
rnacentral:rRNA from 1 species